AGCGAACGCUGGCGGCAGGCUUAACACAUGCAAGUCGAGCGCCCGUAGCAAUACGGGAGCGGCAGACGGGUGAGUAACACGUGGGAACAUGCCCUUUGGUUCGGAAUAACUCAGGGAAACUUGAGCUAAUACCGGAUAAGCCCUUACGGGGAAAGAUUUAUCGCCAAAGGAUUGGCCCGCGUCUGAUUAGCUAGUUGGUGGGGUAAUGGCCCACCAAGGCUACGAUCAGUAGCUGUUCGAGAGGAUGAUCAGCCACAUUGGGACUGAGACACGGCCCAAACUCCUACGGGAGGCAGCAGUGGGGAAUAUUGGACAAUGGGGGAAACCCUGAUCCAGCCAUGCCGCGUGAGUGAUGAAGGCCCUAGGGUUGUAAAGCUCUUUCGGUGGGGAAGAUAAUGACGGUACCACAGAAGAAGCCCCGGCUAACUUCGUGCCA
rnacentral:rRNA from 1 species